AGAACGAACGCUAGCGGCGUGGAUUAGGUAUGCAAGUCGAACGGGAACUAUAUAACAGAUCCUUCGGGUGAAGACUUAUAGGGAACGUGGCGAAAGGGUGAGUAAUAAAUGGAUAACCUACCCUCCAGAUCGGGAUAAUCCAUCGAAAGGUGGGGUAAUACCGGAUGGUCUGGCAGUCUUAUCAGUCUGUCAGUAAAGGUUGCUUCGGCAUCUGCUGGAGGAGGGGUCAUUUCCUAUUAGCUUGUUGGUAAGGUAAUGGCUUACCAAGGCAUAGAUGGGUAGGGGGCCUUAGCGGGUGAUCCCCCACACUGGGACUGAGACACUGCCCAUGUUCCUACGGGAGGCUGCAAUCGAGAAUCCUCCGCAAUGGGCGAAAGCCUGACGGGGUGACGCCGCGUGGACGAUGAAGGCCUAUCAGGUUGUAAAGUCCUAACAGGGAGUAUGAAAAUCGGCGGGUCCAAUAGGCCCGUUGAUUGACGUCAAUCCCAGAUGAAGUCACGGCUAAAUAUGUGCCAGCAGCCGCGGUAAGACAUAUGUGGCGAGCGUUGUUCGGAAUUACUGGGCUUAAAGCGCGCGUAGGCGGUUCAGUCAGUUAAUUUGUGAAAUCCCCCGGCUUAACCGGGGAAUCGCGGUUAAUACUGCUGAACUCGAGUACAAGAGGGGAGAGUGGAAUUCUGGGUGUAGCGGUGGAAUGCGAAGAUAUCCAGGAGAAGGCCGGUGGCGAAAGCGACUCUCUGGCUUGAUACUGACGCUGAGGUGCGAAAGCGUAGGUAGCGAACGGGAUUAGAUACCCCGGUAGUCUACGCUGUAAAUGAUGGGCACUGGAUGGUGGAGGCGCUGAUAGCUUUCUCCGUCGAAGCAAAUGCGUUAAGUGCCCCGCCUGGGGAGUACGGUCACAAGAUUAAAACUCAAAGGAAUUGACGGGGGCCCACACAAGCGGUGGAGGAUGCGGCUUAAUUCGAGGACACGCGUAAAACCUUACCGAGGUUUGACAUGUAGGGAUUAAUCCGGUGAAAGCCGGAGGAUUGCCUUACGGUGUAACCUACACAGGUGCUGCAUGGCUGUCGACAGUUCGUGUCGUGAGAUGUUAGGUUAAGUCCUGAAACGAGCGAAACCCCUGUGCUUAAUUGCCAGCGCGUUAUGGCGGGGACAUUAGGCAGACUGCCUCGGCUAACGGGGAGGAAGGUGGGGACGACGUCAAGUCAGCAUGGCCCUUAUACCUCGGGCUGCACGCGUCCUACAAUGGGCAGUACAAACAGGACCGAUCCCGCGAGGGGGAGGAAAUCUCUAAAGCUGCUCUCAGUUCGGAUUGCAGGCUGAAACCCGCCUGCAUGAAGGUGGAAUCGCUAGUAAUCGCCGGUCAGCUAUACGGCGGUGAUCCGUCCCUGGGCAUUGUACACACCGCCCGUCAAGCCACCCGAGUUGGGCGCACUCGAAGUCCGAGACUCAACCGUUUACGGAGAGAUCGGCCGAA
rnacentral:rRNA from 1 species